rnacentral:rRNA from 1 species
GAUGAACGCUGGCGGCGUGCCUAAUACAUGCAAGUCGAGCGAACAGAUGAGGAGCUUGCUCCUCUGACGUUAGCGGCGGACGUGUGAGUAACACGUGGAUAACCUACCUAUAAGACUGGGAUAACUUCGGGAAACCGGAGCUAAUACCGGAUAAUAUAUUGAACCGCAUGGUUCAAUAGUGAAAGACGGUUUUGCUGUCACUUAUAGAUGGAUCCGCGCCGCAUUAGCUAGUUGGUAAGGUAACGGCUUACCAAGGCAACGAUGCGUAGCCGACCUGAGAGGGUGAUCGGCCAAACUGGAACUGAGACACGGUCCAGACUCCUACGGGAGGCAGCAGUAGGGAAUCUUCCGCAAUGGGCGAAAGCCUGACGGAGCAAAGCCGCGUGAGUGAUGAAGGUCUUCGGAUCGUAAAACUCUGUUAUUAGGGAAGAACAAAUGUGUAAGUAACUAUGCACGUCUUGACGGUACCUAAUCAGAAAGCCACGGCUAACUACGUG